rnacentral:tRNA from 2 species
GGGGGUAUAGCUCAGUGGUAGAGCGCGUGCUUAGCAUGCACGAGGUCCUGGGUUCAAUCCCCAGUACUUCCA